AUACUUACCUGGCGUAGGGGAUACCGUGAUCAUGCAGGCGGUUCCCCCAGGGUGAGGCUGCUCCGUUGCAAAGCGGAGUGUUGACCCCUGCGAUUAUUUUUAAAUUUUGUUAAUAAAUAAAUAAUAAUACAAAAUGUCUACCCGAACAAUUAUUUU